GUAGUAGUAGUAGUAGAAGAAAUAGUCUUGCCUUUUUCAAUGCUUCCUUUCCGUUACAGGUUCAAGGAUGGUGGUUGUACUAAACUUUGUAAAAACUAUUGUCCUGAUGUCGCCCCGAAUAAACAAAAACCCCGUGGUCUUGAGAAUUUCAAUCGAAGAAUUCCCUUUGAUGCAUGCUGCGCUUGCAACUGCAACGACUAUAAAGCCAAGCAAAACUCACGUGAUGUUUAUGUGAUCGACUCGGGAAUUUGUCAAAGAACAUGUAAAUUCUUUUGCUCAUUUUACAUUCUUUGAUGUGGUCUUCAAGAUCUUGAUCGGAGAACUGAGGAAGAAAAUGCAGCCCAAAAACAACUUUGACAACUCCAAAGGAUCUGGAGAAAAUCUUCCUCAACCUUCGUCCACUUCUCCGCUUUACCAGAUCAUCAAGUCCUGAAUUCCACUGACACAAGAGACCAAUUGUGAUCUAUAAAAUGCAAACUCUUUGCUACCCUCUAAUAACCAUUAUGUUCAUUAGACGGACAGUCUUUGAUUGGAAUAACAAAAAGAAGAAUAAAAACUGUUAUCAAUUUUGAACUACAAUGCACAAUAUAAAUAAAUAAAUAAAUAAAUAAA